rnacentral:rRNA from 1 species
AACGAACGCUGGCGGCAGGCUUAACACAUGCAAGUCGAACGCAUCCUUCGGGGUGAGUGGCAGACGGGUGAGUAACGCGUGGGAACGUGCCCUUCAGUUCGGGAUAACCCAGGGAAACUUGGGCUAAUACCGGAUACGUGCGAGAGCAGAAAGAUUUAUCGCUGAAGGAUCGGCCCGCGUCUGAUUAGCUAGUUGGUGGGGUAAUGGCCCACCAAGGCGACGAUUAGUAGCUGGUCUGAGAGGAUAAUCAGCCACAUUGGGACUGAGACACGGCCCAAACUCCUACGGGAGGCAGCAGUGGGGAAUAUUGGACAAUGGGCGCAAGCCUGAUCCAGCCAUGCCGCGUGAGUGAUGAAGGCCUUAGGGUUGUAAAGCUCUUUCGUCCGGGACGAUAAUGACGGUACCGGAAGAAGAAGCCCCGGCUAACUUCGUGCCAGCCGCCGCGGUAA